CCUACGGGAGGCAGCAGUGGGGAAUAUUGGACAAUGGGCGCAAGCCUGAUCCAGCAAUGCCGCGUGAGUGAUGAAGGCCUUAGGGUCGUAAAGCUCUUUUACCAGGGAUGAUAAUGACAGUACCUGGAGAAUAAGCUCCGGCUAACUCCGUGCCAGCAGCCGCGGUAAUACGGAGGGAGCUAGCGUUGUUCGGAAUUACUGGGCGUAAAGCGUACGUAGGCGGUUAUUCAAGUCAGAGGUGAAAGCCCGGGGCUCAACCCCGGAACGGCCUUUGAAACUAGGUAGCUAGAAUCUUGGAGAGGUCAGUGGAAUUCCGAGUGUAGAGGUGAAAUUCGUAGAUAUUCGGAAGAACACCAGUGGCGAAGGCGACUGACUGGACAAGUAUUGACGCUGAGGUACGAAAGCGUGGGGAGCAAACAGGAUUAGAUACCCUGGUAGUCCCACGCCGUAACGAUAGAUAACUAGCUGUUCGGGUCGACUUGGUGUCUUGUAGUGGCGGCAGCUAACGACAUUAAGUUUAAUCCGUCCGUGGGGUAGGUACGGGUCGGCGAAGAAGUUAAAACGUUAAAAGGUAAAGUUAGACGGUCGUGAGACGUUGUCCGAACGGACGACGACGAGGGGAGGUAGGG
rnacentral:rRNA from 1 species